rnacentral:rRNA from 1 species
AUCCUGGCUCAGGAUGAACGCUAGCGGCAGGCUUAACACAUGCAAGUCGAGGGGCAUCGGGAGUAGCAAUACUUGCCGGCGACCGGCGCAAGGGUGCGUAACGCGUGAGCAACAUGCCCGUAUCAGGGGGAUAAUCCAUGGAAACGUGGUCUAAUACCCCAUAGUAAUUAUGUAAGGCAUCUUAUAUAAUUUAAAGCUUUGGUGGAUACGGAUUGGCUCGCGUGACAUUAGCUGGAUGGUAAGGUAACGGCUUACCAUGGCUACGAUGUCUAGGGGUUCUGAGAGGAAGGUCCCCCACACUGGAACUGAGACACGGUCCAGACUCCUACGGGAGGCAGCAGUGAGGAAUAUUGGACAAUGGAUGGAAAUCUGAUCCAGCCAUGCCGCGUGCAAGGAAGACGGCCCUAUGGGUUGUAAACUGCUUUUGUAUGGGAGCAAUAAGGGCUACGUGUAGUCCGAUGAGAGUACCAUACGAAUAAGCACCGGCUAACUCCGUGCCAGCAGCCGC